rnacentral:rRNA from 1 species
UACGGAGGGUGCAAGCGUUGUCCGGAUUUAUUGGGUUUAAAGGGCUCGUAGGCGGUUUGUCGCGUCGGGAGUGAAAUCCACUGGCUUAACUGGUGGCUUGCUUUCGAUACGGGCAGACUGGAGGUAUGCAGGGGAGAACGGAAUUCCUGGUGUAGCGGUGAAAUGCGCAGAUAUCAGGAGGAACACCGGUGGCGAAGGCGGUUCUCUGGGCAUGUCCUGACGCUGAGGAGCGAAAGUGUGGGGAGCGAACAGG